GGAGGGUAGGCGAAUAUUGGUUUGUCGCGCUUGUUUGCUAAACAAGUCCGGGUUAUCCCGGUGAGAGUUCGAUCCUCUUACCCUCCG
rnacentral:tRNA from 1 species